AAAAAAGGAGUUUAAGAAUUUCAAAGAUAAUCUUCAGUUAUUCUGGGACAGAUUGGUACGUGAGAGUCAACAUGGCCCUCUCUUUGAUCAGGUUCUGUUCGACAAGUGCAUGGACUAUAUAAUAGCUUUGUCAUGCACUCCUCCAAGAGUCUAUCGUCAAGUUGCUUCUAUUAUGGGACUUCAACUCGUCACAUCCUUCAUAGCUGUUGCUGAUGUCCUCAGUGCUCAACGUGAAACAACUCGUAGGCAGUUA